GAAGAAUAUAUUUAUUAGGUGCAGAAUUAUGUGUCAUUGGGAAUAGACAGGUCAAUUUAAGGACAAAGACUUGUUUUACUAGAUUGAAAUAUCCUGUACUUAACUUUUGAGGAAUGGAAUACUUUCCCAUCUUGGGCUUCAAUCCAUCGUUUUCUAAAGCUUUGCCUGUGUCUUGGAGAUUCUGAAGAUUAGAUUACUUACAGUAUGGAAACAGGCCCUUCAGCC